GUAUUUAAAUACAGCACUCGCACUGAAUGUGCAAGCAAUUACGUAACAUAAAAAUGACAGCUAAUUAUAACCAAGGUAAGAUAUAUUUUAUUUUCGGUUAAAGAUGUUUUGUCUCUUUGAUCAUCAGUUUUUUCUUAAUUUCACUCUCUCUCUCUCUCUCUCUCUCUCUCUUGUUAAAACCAUGACUUUUUCCACUGCAUUUUUGCACAUUUUUAUCGGAAUUUAUAGACAAGUUUUAUUUGUUUUUUUUUUCGAAUUGAAAAUUGGGCAAUUGUUUCUAGCAUUUUCAUAAUUGAAAGUGCCACACAUUUAUUGUAAAGAUACCAUUUUUUGUUUGUUUGUUUUAACUUAUUUUUCGGUUUGUUUCAAUGAAUUCGGUUGAUUCUUUGCAAGAGUUAGAAAAUAAAAAGAAAAUUAAUCGAUUUAAGCUCAGUUCCAAUGUCGAACAAAUCAUGUGAGACAGCGUUAUGUCAUCAGUUUUCCUUUAUAUCUUUGGUUUUGUGCAUACAAAUAGUGAAUGUAUUAAAUUAAAAUUUCCACUAAAUUUCCUCAUUUUGUUCAAAUGUAAAGGCAUCAAAGUCCAUGUCGCGCAAAAAGCCUCCAAUGCGCUCACGCAAAAUCGAAUUUUCCAUAAUAUCCGGCGAUAUUUCCAAAUUUGUCAUUGGCGACGAAAAUUUGCCCCGCUCAAACCAUCCCUCUAAGGCUUCGCGUUCGUAAGAAAAUCCAUCUGUAGUGAGGAAAAAUCAGAUUUUUUUCUGAACUUGACAUUUGUCAAUAGUUGGUUCAAUUUGGAAUAGAAAGUGAAUUUUUUUUUAGAUUGAAAUCAAGAGCGAGGUUUGGAUUUUGAAUCUAAAUUAAAAGCAAUUUCGGAAUGAAUCAAAGUUUUGAUUUGAACUAAAAUUCAAAUCGGAAUGUUUGUAAUUUUGUGUUAGAAAUUCAAUUAUGAAUUCGGUGCUAAUUAUAAUGAUUUUGAGUUUGGAGAGUAGGCAUUGAUCUGAAAAGCAUUGACAUACAAUCUAAAAAAAGAAGAAUUUUUGUGUGUUGACGGGGGAUACCUUCAGCCAGAAUGGGAUCUUUCAUAAUUUCAUGCGUAAUCGGGCAAAUAAAGUCUAAGGGCACUUCGGUGCGGCUCGAGGCCAAAUUGAACAAAAUACUACGAACGCCAGUCAAAUGGCUGUCCAAUGUGAGCGUAUUGGUUAGGUCCCAAAUUAAAAUCGUUCGAUCAUUGGAGCCGCUACAAAACACCGUUGAAUCACUAUUCACAGCCAUACAAUUGACAUAUCUCGUGUGUUCUGUCAUUGUUUUGAUACAGUUGCCCUGUAAAUCCCACACCUUGAUGGUUUUAUCCAUGCUACAGGACAACAAUAAUGUACCCAUGACAUUGAACCUAGGGAAUUUGUUUCAAGGAUACAUUAUAAUUACUUACAUUCAUCACACAUGGCCGAUAUUCCCAAUUCAAUUCAAUUCAAUGCCAUACACUUACUUGACGCACGUCACUGAGCUUCCAUGAGCUUGAAUUGCUAUGAUGCAUUCAGCGUUCAUGGUCGAUGUUCCCACAACCGUUGAAUUGCCACAAAGGUGCUCCUAAUUUAAAAUGGUUCAUUGAAUUUGAAAUUUUAGAAUAGAAAUAAGAAUGACGGUGCAGGUUAUAAAUGAUGCACGUGAUAAGAGUUUGCGUUGUUGUUUUUCUUCAACAGUUUUGCUUCAACAAUAUUUGGCUAUUCAGAACAAACUUAAACAAAUCGUUUGUGGUACAAGUAAUAUUUACUUACGAAAAAGUAAAAACAUAACCAAAUAUGUGCAUACAUGUACAUUUGACUAAUGUAAAUAAAAGCUACAACUCUCGUUUCCGCUUUCACUUCUGUUGUUUGAUUCUGUUUUUUUUACGAAAUUAUUUCUGGCAUAAAAUAGUCUUAUCCAUAUACAUACCAUCACACCAUCGGGAAGUAGUCGCGAUGAUCCUUUGGGCUCUUUCAAGUCUCGCAGGCAGUAAAGACGCCAAAGUUUGAUCAGUUGAUCGGUUCCGCUUGAAGCGAACGUGUAAAUUGUUGUAUUAUAAUCGGACGCUACAAGAGAAUCAUAGAAUCAUCUUAGUUUUGAUAUUAUAGCAAUGGGAUUAGUUCAAAAUGAACAGUAAACCAUUUUCUACCAAAGGUUUGAAAAUUUUGUAUGGAAAAUUAAACGCUCAAUAGAAAAUGAGUUAUCCAAUGAAGGUAAAUACAACUGGAAUUGACAUAUUUUCUGUAAAUCGAUCUUUAAAAUGUUCCAAAAUUCUUCUUCAAAAUUGGUACACUCAAAAUUAUCUUCAUUCACACCAAUUCAAAAGUUAUUCUUUCACUUUGAACUUACACAACCGACAAUUGUCUUCUGAUGGACAACAUCCCAUCAAUUAUUUGAUUGGACGAAAAUAAAAGCAAAGACUCACGAUCAUAAUGGUAAAGUUUGCAAAAAUCCGUCGCCAGCACACCCAUGUCGUGUGCAGCAUCAAUGAUACAGUCUGGCUCAUCGGUGUCGUUGUCCAUGUAACUGAUUCGAAUGUUACCGAUCAUACAACCGGUUAAUAAGAUUGUCGAAUCAGAUGAAAAUGACAAACAAUGCACGGAUUCCUCAUGCCGCUUUAUAAUCCUGGAACAACAACCCAUUUUAAUGUGUUCAAUAUCCUCAGCAAAAUUCGAUGCAGAAAACUGGAGCAAGAAAUGCAUGUAAUUCAAUGUGAUGAAUUGAAAGCUUCAAACAUUUUGAAACAUUUGGAAUAAUUUAGCAUUGUCACAGAGGAAGGAAUAUUGAAAUAUGGGCCAUGAAAAAAUGUCUACGCAAAAGCACGACUAUUAAGCCACUUGAUAAUAUCGUAUUAUCCCAACUAAUUCAAUCAUAAUUGAAUUCAUAAUUAUGGAUGGAAUUACCAUCAAUCCCAAGGGAAACAUUUGACUGACGAAAAAAUUUAAAGAAAAAAUUGGGAUAAUUCCCCACAUUAACAGGAAUAAGAGAAGUACAAUUUUAUUAAAAACUAUGACCAAAUAUUUAUCAGCAAUAAAAUUACAGUUAUUAUUACCAAAUAAUUGAUAUUGUCGACAUAAUCAAAUCAAUAAUUCUCAUCAAAAAAUUCACAAUAACUGAUAGCAACAAAAAUGUCCGACGCAAUGUCUGACGUUCUGAUGUAUAAUUCCAUUUUUUUACAAUUCAAUUAUAAAUACAAUUAGUUUCGAUCGGUAAUUAAAAAUGUAGAAAUGUGCAAAAUUAAGCAUGAUAUUAAUUAAUCUAAUUGAAAUUAAAAAAAUAUGAAUGAAAAAAGAAAA